rnacentral:lncRNA from 1 species
GAGCAAAAAAUCUGCAAUUCGCACAAAUAUAAACCCAGUAGAUGGGAUUUAUAUGUUUCUCGCAGAUGCUGCAGUAACAGGGAUAUUCACGAUAUUGUUGGGGAAGAGAGUAGGUCAAGAUGACAGCAUGUUCAUUGUGAAAUUUACUUUGGUAGGUGAUUGGUGCAUUGGCACAACUCUCGUGCAUGUAUCCAGAAACGACAUGUUGUACAAAUAUAGGACAAGUCUGUAGCUGUAGUGUUACAAGCAUGACACAGGAACAAAGCUGGGCUUUGGACUAAGGUUAAUGGGUGAUCAUGACCCUGAUGACACAGGUUACGUUUCUCUAGAGAUUUAAGUUCUGACAUUACACAUUUCAAACAAACAAGAAAUUCGGAACUGGCAGAAGACUCAGAACUAUACAUAAAGUACUGAGAGGCGCUGCCACAAGCAUGACAAGCAUAAAAGUCUUGCUUUCUAUAUGGAAGCGCAACGAGGCUUAGAGGCUGUUUUGGGUUCAUAGGGUGUGUAAAAGUUGAGGGCAACUCUGAACAAGUUUUAUGCAUAUAGAAACCAACACAAACACUCGAUGGACUGCUAUCAAUAACGGAAGUGUUGCACCUAUAAAAUGCAUCUAUGAGUUUGUUGAUUGGCUGUUUGCACCCAACACAUUCUACAUCCUUACCGACAACAGGCUUGACUUCACUUAGUAUCAGCUGAUGCUCAUGAAAAAAAAGUUUCGAUUCUGCCAUCUAUGUUUACAAGAGAGAGAUAGAGAGAGACAGAGGGAGAUGUAUAUCUACUAAAGGCAAAUAUGAAUGAUUCAACACGACCACUGCACUCUGUUCAUAUAUAGAUUAAGAUACAUAAAACAAUCAAGUAGUUAACCCAAUCUUCAAGUUUCAAAAAAGAACGAAUAAUUCAAUGAUAAGUAAGAAUAUGUAUAAGAAUCAAGCAACUGUGCGAACAUUCGUGUUCCAGUGCAUCACCAAACAAAGAAAGAAUCAUAAGCAGUCAUUUAUAAUCAACCUAAAGAAUAAAUGACAAAGAAUUGCAGGUUAGGAGAUUCUGUGGGAGGUAAAGAAGCCAAACAUUCUUUGCUUUUGAGAAUCAAGGAAGUGAUUCCAUUUUGUUUAAGCAAGCUGAGAAGACCCUCUGCUAUGAUUGCUUCAUCAAUCAAAACACCCUCUACUUCAUACAUUUAUAUUCUUUGUGAUACCAUUUCAUCCCAGAAACAUAUAAAGACCAGUAUGAGUGUGAAGUUUCGGACUAUUAAAAAUUUAUAAUUCUCUGUCUCGGACUAUGAAAAAAAUUAUAAUUCUUUGUCUCGAACUAUGAAUUUGGUUCAAAUUUAUAUGUUCUGAAACAACUUUGACAUCAUCAGUAUUCUUAUUCUAUUGAUUUUUAUUUUGGACUUCUAAUGGUGCUACAUGUAUGAUUUUUAAUAUUAGCGGGUCUUUUAAUUCUAUUGAGAUCGGAUCAAUUUUCAAUAUAAUUUCUAUAAAAAUAAAUUUGUAGAUAUAACAAACAUCCCUUAUAUUACAAAACCACCCAUAUUUCUGUUAUAAAUUUUCUUUUAACUAUGUGAGUUUUCCUCAGACCCAUUAAUUACUGAGGAGUUUAGUUGGUUUGAUUAAAACUAAUAAAAACUGAUAUUGAUUGUUCCAUGACAAUUUGUGAUCGUAUUUGUUCAUGACAUAAAUCAAGAACUAAAGUAUGAUAGGUGCAAGAAACUAUAGUGUAGCUUAUUAGUGUGGCCAGAGUCAUGUAAUGAAACAGUUGGAAACGAUUAAAAGAGUGAAAAUCACGAAGGUUAUAAAUUAUUUAGAGAUUUUUUAAAAUGCUAAGACUUGUCAAAAGUGACGAAAUAAUGAAUUUAGAAACAAACUUUUAAAAAUGGUAUAAAUCACAAAUAUUCGAAGUAAUUAUAUGAAACGAAAGACUAUAGAAAAGGUAUUAAUUCAUACCUCAAACUCAGAUUGUCCAAGACUCCAAGCCAAAGAACCCUAGAUCAUAUUAUCCAAGUCAAAGAAUCCCAAAUCACAAUUAUUCAUCCCCACUAAAAGCAAUCCCAACUGAAGCAAACCCUACAGAAAUUCUCACACCGAAACAUAACAACCCUAUAGAAUUGAGCAAAAAAAAUCUCAAAAACAUAAGGGUCAGGUCUCAAACAAACACAAAUCAAAAUCGAAUAGAGUUGCGUGGACUUCCUUAUGUAGCAUCUCCGAAGUGUGGGCCAUUGUUAUCACAAGCAAAAUAUGAUCUCAAAGUAUCAAUUUAUAAUACGGUUUUGGUGCAUUUUCAGAGAUUUUGCGAGUCGAGUUCGAGUUCAAGUUUUUGCUAAACGAGUCGAGUUUGAUCGAUAUGGUAAACGAUCAUUUUUUGUUGAUCGAAUUCGAGUUCGUUAAGAACCGAGUCGAGCUCGAGCUCGAGCUGGUCGCGAACAAUUCGAGUCGAAUCGAGUUCGAGUCGAGCCGUUCGCGAAAAUUUGAUUUUUUUUUCGAAAAAAUUAAUUAAUAUUAAAAAAGUUUUUAAAAUAUUUCCUGAAGAUUCAACCACACAGAUGUUGGGAUAUUUUUAUUUUAAUGAUUUUACAAAAAUAUCACAAAACAAAAAAUAUAUUUGAUGUGAAAUUUUAAUAAUCAACUAGUGAAAUAACUAGUACUUUAUAUAUGUCUGGUCCUGAAUUGAUGUUAUAUUUUUUCUCAAAAAAAUUAUUGACAAUUUAACCGUAAGGAUGUUAAGAUCUAGUUAUUUUAAUGAUAUUAGGAAAAUAUCAAAAAUGAAAAAAAAAUUAUAUUUCAUUAUCCAUAUCUUUUUACACAUUAAAAAUUAAAAAAUCAUAAAUAUUUUGUUUAACGAGUCGAGUCGAGUCGAGUUCGACUUUAACGAGCCGAGUCGAGCUCGAGUCGAACACUAGUACUCGACUCGACUCGAGUUUCUUAACGAUCAAAUUUUUUUGUUCGAAUUCGAACUCAAUAGCGAACCGAGUCGAACCGAGUCGAGCUUUAAACGAGUCGAGCCGAGCUUGUUCGCGAACAGCUCGGUUCGUUUACAGCCCUAUUCAAACUCAUCAAAUUGUGUAUUUAUUAUGUGUCCGUUUUCUUUUCUUUUUUGAAAAUGAGAAUAAAUCUCACAAAUAAGAAUCGGCAAUUCACCAAGAUAAUUCCUUCAUUCAAGAAAGCUUAUUAUCUAACCGUCGGACAUGCAAGAUGACCGGGAAAAUUUAGACAAUAAAACUUUAAUGUCCUAAAAUAAAAACUAGUCUUCUUCCAAGAAUCCUGAAAAUAAAUCAAAGGAAACAAGAAAAAUAUAAGACAAUAUAUAUCAGAUUACAUAAAUUAUAAAAAUAAAAAAUAUAUCCAAUAAUUAAUUAUUAAUAAAAUCACGUGUAUAUGCAUGUGCUGAUCAAAAUAUUUACACAAUUAUGAUAACUCAUAACUGAGACAAUUAAACUCUUAAUUAAGGCACAAUUAAUAAAAUAUUAACGCUCUUAAUUAAGACACAUUAAAGCCCUUUAAAUAAGGCACAAUAAACAUCUUCAAUUAUGAGGUACGGUUUACGUCCUCAAUUAUGAGGCCCAAAUAACGCCCUUAAUUAUGAGGCACAAUUAACGCUUUUCUUUCUGAAGGCGGAUCCCUAGAAUUGCCGUCGCCGCAACCCUCAGUCACCGCCACCACUGCUACGCUAUUUCUCUCGCACACGUCCGCAAAACCAUAAACUCAGAUUAUCAACCGAUUACUCAGCAAGGCACAAAUCAAACAAAAAGUUUAAUUAAAAUCAAACAAAUCAUUAUAAUCAACGACAAUUAAUCAUAAUUUAAUCAAACAAAAAGAAAUUCAUUCAACUGGAAAAUAAAUGAACGAAAAACGCAUACGUUUCAUCUUUGACGACGAGAUUGAGGAGCGUGAGAAGCGCGGACUGAGUGGAUUCGACCGAGUCAAAACGGAGCAAAUCGACGAGCAGUAUCAUUUGAAAAGAAGAAUGAAGAUAUAUAUAUGUGGACGUGGAAUUUGAAUUUCUAACCUCAAAACUGGAAUCUGAUAAAUUGGAUGUGUUGACAAGUGAUUAACAAAGGGUGGUUGUUGAGAGUGAGAUCGUAGAUGAUGAUCCGAUGUUUAUAUUUAAAAGUACAGAUAUACCUGAUUUUUUAACUAGGAACCCACAAAAGAUUCAAUUGUUUGCACAUAUAUGGAUGAAUAUGUUAGCGAGAAAGCUUGGCGUUGGCUGUGGAAUUGUACACGAGAGAGACGGAGAGAAAUUAUUUAUUAUGUGUCCUUGGAGCACAUUAGAUAGACCUUUUAUAAUAUUACGUGGUUAUAAUUUUUUUAAAAAAAUUAUAAACAAUUUUAACCUCCUUUUUUUUUGACAAUGAGGCCUUACUUUGUCUUACAAAUUAGUAGUCAGAGUCGAACUCGGGUGUCCCGGGAUAAUAAGGGAUAAACCAUCAUUGGGCUAUCCAGUCGUGCUCGAUUUUAACCCUUUUUAAAGCCCAUAGAAAAACAAAAAAUGGCUCAGAUCAACAAGUAAUGCCCUGAAUAACAGAUCGAGAAAAAUAACCCAAAUACCGGUUAUUAAUAUCAAUCUAGCGUUUUUAAUUUGGGAGAAAACGCUAGUUAGUGUAACGUUUUACGGUUUUAACCCAAAAAAUAACGCUACAUAAACUAACAUCUUGUUUUUUUUAACCCUAACAGAACGCUAAACGAAUGAAAAUUCAAACGCUACACGAUGCAGUAUUAAUAAAUGAUAUUUAAAGUUAUUUUUUUUAUCAUAAUACGAAUAAUGAAUAUAGUGAUAACACCCCGCAAAAGCCUAGAAUCCUCAUGCUUAUGAGGUAACUUUUAAAGCCUAGACAUGUAUAUCUAAAACGUUAUACGUGUAAUGAUUUAUUCUUACAUUAAAAUAUGACAUUCAGAGUAUUUCAACUCUAAUUUGUGAUAUCUGAAGCCUUUUAUCGUAUCCGAGAAUUUUUACAAUAUACUGUCAAGUCAAUUAUUAAUGAAUAUUUUGACUAGUUUCGGAUACACUCCAAAGAAUUUUAAUACAAUUUAUAAAUUUUAAUACCCUAUAUAUAAUUUAUAGAUUUUAAUGAAUUGUAUCUGAAUUGAAUUUUAUAUGAAUUUUAGAUAUAAUGUCGCAAGAUCUCAUAGAUUAUGGUGGAAUUUCCAAAAGCACAAAAUACACGCAAAAAUUUAUCAUUUUAUUAAGUCCCAAAAAUUAAUCAACAUUUGAAUAACAUCAAAUUAUAAUAUAUUUGAAUAAUCUUAAUUGAACACCAUAUUUUUAGAUAUAAUUAAAAUCAUGUUUAAAUACCACCAGAUUUUAUAUCAUAACUUUAAAUCUUAAUCGACCUCAAAAUAUGGAUACAGUUUUUAAAAUUAUACACCUAUUUUUUAUGAAUUAAAAAAAUCAAAAUUUCAAUUGAAUCCACCCUUUGGGCUUGAGAAAUAUUCGGACGGCAUUAUUGUCAAAAUGACUAUCUAUUCUUCAUUGAUAAACUGAGAUGAAUAUAAUUCGAACAACCUACCAUACUACGGUCAAUACCAUACUACAAUGAGCCUGUGCAUAAGAUAUAUAGCUACAAACCAGAUAAAAUUAAGAAAUAACCCCAAUAACCUUUUAGGAAAAAAAACAUGCUAACGAACUCGUACUAUCUGUGACAUAUUUUGAUUUGUCAACCUUGUUACAAGAUCAGCAUUGUUAAAUUUAAAUUUUUUUUUUGAUAAUUUGAAAAGAAUAUAUACAAGCACAAAGGAUUUGUAAAUUUUCUGAACCUAUACAAUCCAGCAAUACACAAUAUAAUUUUCCCUGAUUUCAUUCUUUAAUGAAACAAUUCCGAUGCACUAUAUAUUUGCAUGGUGAACAUUGGAGAGCCGGCGUAUCGCGUGCAUCUUCCCCACAUAAAUUGCAAUUCCUUGUCUUUUUAUUGAGAAUAUAUGUGAGGCCGUGUGGAUGAGGAUGUUUGUCGCUGUAAAUGUUGGUGGCACCAAACUUGAUAUUGGACAGCCAAUCAUCUGGAUCAAUACAGCUAAUAUGAAAUGAUAGAUCGCAUACAUUGCAGUGAUAAAACCAACUGUUGGUGUUUAUCUCUUUGGAGCAAAAUUCACAAGGGAAUUCGUGGGGAUGAUCGGGUACAUUCUUGAGAGACAGGAUCAAGUAGAGAGGAUGAGGAUCCCACCUAUGUUUCACCACUUGUGCACUUAACACACACCCUAUAUGUGUGUAAAAUUCACAUUUUUCACAUCCGUACACGAUGGUUCUUACCUCUUCAGUUACAGGCUCACGCCAACAACCUUUGCAAAGAAAGUCAUCUGGAGUCUUUAAUUGCUGAAGAGGGUGACGAUGACCUUUAUGUUUGAUUAUUCUGGGUAAUGAAGCGCACUUGAUGUCAAAAGUGUAUUCAUCAUUGAGCAUGCAAAUCCCAUUACCAUAAAUGCCGCAACCACUGCAUUGAAAAGUAUAUAGUUCACCUGACUCUCGUGCUAGCACUGCCUCCAGAUCGCCUGCUAGAUGAUGCUUAAUCCUUUUGGGGAAUUGGGAGCAUGAUCUGUGGAGAAAAAAAUUGCAUAAACUGCAUUCAUAGAAUACAUCAACCAAGGAGAUAGGAUUCAUGCAACCAUCACAGAUUAGCAAUUCAGUUUCUGCUAUUUUCGGCUUCAAGUUGAGGGGCAAAGUUUUUGCAUUCUUGUUUCCGAGUGCCAGUUGGUGUCCAUGGGCCCAAUGAUUGAUAUAAGGUGAAGGUUCCCCAGUGGAAGGAUUUACGGCCUUGAUGAUACAUUGUUGCAUUGUUUCAUGUAGUGAUGCUUCAUCAUGCACUGGGAACUGCAUCAAACUGGACUCUCCGCAAUCUGCUUCAUCAUCAAUAUCACUUUCACUAUUCCAAAAGAAAGAUUCAUAUCCAAUCAGAAUAAUUUCGAGUAAAACAGCAAUGUCAGAAAACUAAAUAUUUAUUUAAUAAGUAUUCAAUAUCAAAUAUAUAAGAAAUAAUAAGAGAUAGUACAUCAACCUCAACAUCUCAGUUAAUGAAGCACAUUUCACGUGAGCAAAAAAUCUGCAAUUCGCACAAAUAUAAACCCAGUAGAUGGGAUUUAUAUGUUUCUCGCAGAUGCUGCAGUAACAAAGAUAUUGACGAUAUUGUUGGGGAAGAGAGUAGGUCAAGAUGAGAGCGUGUUCAUUGUGGAAUUUACUUUGAUAGGUGGUGGGUGCAUUGGCACAAUUCUUGUGUAUAUAAAAACAACAUCUUGUACAGAUAUAGGACAAGUCUGUAGCUGUAGUGUUACAAGCAUGACACAGGAACAAAGCUGGGCUUUGGACUAAAGUUAAUGGGUGAUUGUGACCUGGAUGACAAAGGUUACGGUCCUCUAGAGAUUUAAGUUCUGACAUUACACAUUUCAAACAAACACGAAAUUCGGAACUGACAGAAGAAUCAGAACCAUACAUAAAGUGCUGAGAGUGGCUGUCACAAGCAUGACAAAUAUAAAAGUAUUCUUUUUUAUAUGGAAGCACAAAGAGGCUUAGAGGUUUUUUCGGGUUCAUAGGGUGUGUAAAAGUUGAGGGCAACUCAGAACAAGUUUUAUGCAUAUAGAAACCAACACAAUCACUCGCUGGACUGCUAUCAAUAAGGGACUUGUUGCACCUAUAAAAUGCGUCUAUGAGUUUGUUGAUUGGCUGUUUGCACCCAACACAUUCUACAUCCUUACCGACAACAGGCUCAGCUUCAUUUAGUAUCAGCUGAUGCUCAUGAAAAAAAAAUUUCAAUUCUGCCAUCUAUGUUUACCAGAGAGAGAGAGAGAGAGACAAAGGGAGAUGUAUAUUUACUGAAGGCGAGUAUGAAUGAUUCAACACGACCACUGCACUCUGUUCAUAUAUAUAUUAAGCUACAUUAAACAAUCAAGUAGUUAACCCAAUCUUCAAGUUUCAAAAAAGAACGAAUAAUGCAAUGACAAGUAAGAAUAUGUAUAAGAAUCAAGCAACAGCACAGACAUUUGAUUCCAGUUCAUCAGUCAUCACCAAACAAACAAAGAAUAUUAAGCAGUCACUUAUAAUCAAGACUAUAAGAAUCAAAAAAGUUAUUCCACUUCUCUUUAGCCAGCCAAGACUAUGAUGGUAAAGAGUAAAGACUCCUACUAGAAGAUAAUCUGAAACAAAGCUACUCUUUUUUGUCUGGGGGCAAUAACCUUGAGUUUCUACUUUCUACUCAAAAGUAAAAAUUGGAUUCAUAUAAUUAACAGCAAAAUCAGCUAGUUUAUAGAUCAUUCUUGACUUACAGUAGAAGGCCGCAUAGUGAAAAACCCAGACUUAAUGCCCACCUCCUUGAUAUGAAAAUCUCGUGCUUUUGACUUUAAACCAGUUUUGAGUUUGCAUUGAACAAAUCUCAUGGUCGGGUAAUUUGUUGUGAAAAUCUGUUCCAUGAGUCAUUCGUUUUUUCUUAAAUACAUUACUACUUGUUACUCUUAAAUAGACAUAGUAUAUUUUACUUGAGGAAUAUUUUUGUAAAGAUGUUUCAAGGCAAUCCCAAAAAAUAUCAGCCUAACUCAAAAAGUGUUCUAUUUUUAUAAACUUGAGAAGUGCCUUUAUUCGAUAUGAAAAUCAGAUGACAAUAAUGUCUCCAACAAAUAAAUUGCAGGCAAAACUAAAAAUUUGGAAGCAAUCUAUUUCACAAGAACUGCGAACCAACAGGAGUUUGUUGCUUUCAAUUACGUUACCAGCUUCCAGUCUGAUAACUUUCUCAUUCUUGAUUCCCAACGUACACCGUGAGUAAGGUGACAACAUCCUUCAUGUUAAUAGCAUAGAAUCUAUGAAAGAGNNNAAAGAGUGUUCAAUUAUGUAAACUUUUUAAUUAAAAUUAGGGUUAAAUAUACAGUGGUCACUAAUUUUAACGGGGUCUAUUUACUAUUUAUUUUUUAUUAUAUUUAUAUUUUUUUGUUUUAAUUGAAAAUAAAAUUGAUAAAAUCUACAUAUAUUGUCAUAAAUACUAAAAGUCAUAACCUUUUAAUUGGUUGUGGUAGUUAUAAAAAGUAAUGUGUCAAACUCUAUAAAUAAUAUUUUCUUGUAGUGUUGAUUGAUAUUUAUUAUGAUUUUAAUGAUUGAAAUGAGACCCCGUUAAGAUUAGUGAGCAAAAUGAUAUAUGACCUCUAUGUCAAUGACCACUUUGAUAUUUAUUUCGACUCCUCGAGCCUAAACCCUAAUUAAUUCGAGGCUGCAGGGCCGAAGGCCCUAAAGCCGAGAAACCAAUUUUAAAAAACAAAUUAACAAUCGUUUAAAUUUAGGGUUUAUGUUUGGGAUUUAGAAUGAUUAAUUAAUUAUUAAUUUAUACUUAAAAACUAAAAAUAUUUUUGUAUAGCAUCUUUGAUUUUAUGAACUCAAAACAAAAUAAAAUAGAUCAAUAAAAUUAAAAAAAAUUAAAAAUAGAAUUAGAAAAUAAAAAGAGUCCAGCUGAUCUAAACGUUACUUCAGGUAACGUUUUGUGCCUGCCAAGAUCCCCCUCCCUGGCCACUUGAAUAGUUUUCAACGCUAUUGUAAGGAGCGUUUAGAUUUUAAAUAAAAAUUGAAAAACUAAAACGCUACUUGUAGUAGCGUGUUUUAGUUUUAAAAAGAAUAAAACGCUACACGAUGUAGCGUUUUGGUUUUUUAAUCAAAUCGCUACACGAGAUGCGUGUCUACUGGUUAGUAAGGGCCACGUUUCGGAUAUUUUGUUAUUUUGGGUAUUUUCACCUUAAAUCUGGUUAUUUGGGGCCAAAUCCCCAUAUUUUGCCUAUACCUGAUACAAUACCUGCUUAAAAAGUAAAAAGAGAAGUAAAUUAAUAAUUAUAAGUAGUUAAACUAUUUGGAAAAAGUGUAGAAGUUGUAAAGAUAAGUUAACGUUUUCUAUUUCUAUGACUUCUUAAAAAUAUUUCUUAUUUUUUAUACAAACGGGUCAAGAAAAGUAAAAGCAAGAAGUGGCUCAUGCUUCUCUCCCCCAAACAUGGGUUUUGUUUCACGAAUUCUACUUAUUUUUCUACUUUUUUGCUAAACACUUUAAUAACUUAUAAGUCUUAACUUACUUCUCAUUUAUUUACUAUAAACAAAAAAUCAUUUCGUUUAAAUUCACCCAACCGUCCCUUAUCACCACACUUCAUCAAACAUAAAUAUGGUCAAAUUUAGAAAUUAAAUAUUACGACUAUAAUAAGAUAUAUAAAUAUAUUAUUAUGAUUAUAAAGUGUUUGGGAAAAAAAUAGAAGUCAUGAUAUAAAAAUUAAUAUUCCAAAAUUCUUUUAAGUAUUUCUUAUCGGUACGAAUAAGCUUCUAACUUAUAAAUCUAGAAGCCGGGCUUAUAAGCAAUCGUCAAAUACCACAUUUGUUUCAUCACUUCUACUUAUUUUUAUACUUUUUUACCAAACACUUUAAUCGCUUAUAAAUCUUAACUAACUUCUACUUCACUUUUCUUACUUUAAGUAAAAAACAUUUUUUUAAACUCACCCAAACAGCCUCUUAAUUUUACUUCUCAUUUCUUUAUUAUAAACAAGAAAUCACUUCGUUUAAACUCACCCGAACCGCCGCUUAUCACCCCGCAUCAUCAAACAUAAAUAUGAUCAAUUUUAGAAAUUAAAUAUUACACUUAUAAAUUAUAAGAUAUAUAAAUAUAUUAUCGGUUUGUCUAGUGUGUGCCCAUGGGCACAUGCUAAGCGCGGAAAUUUUUGUAUUUGGGAGGUUUUGAUUGGUGUGGUUGGUGUAUUUGCAGGGGGGUCCACCAUUAUUAAGAGAUAGGAGCCAAUCAAAAUGAUCUAGGUACAAAAUUUUCCGCGCUUAGCAUGUGCCCAUGGGCACACCAUAGAAAAACCGAUAUAUUAUUAUGAUUAUUCAAUCCAUUCUGUUCCAAUCGAAUUUUUUUUAAAAAACCGAACUGAAUCAAACUGAAUUGCACGGUGCGGUAUGUUUCGAUUUUAUUCAGCCCUACAUAUAUAUGUUUUUAUUCCAAAAAAAUUAAAUUGAUCCUCAAAAUUAAUAUACAUGAUCAAAUGUCUAAAAAAGAUAUUUAUAAAAUCACGUAUAUGUGCAUAUAAACUGCUAUCGCAUACAAUCCACUUCUUUACUAUCAUUUUUAAUUUUUAAUAGUAAGUAACUUAUUUCAAACUUACCUAUAAAGAGACUAGUGCAUUUAUUAAUCAGUUGUUUAGGCGCAAGGAGGCUUAGAGGGUGUAGUAUAUAAUCAACCACUUAUCCUAAAAUCUCAAGCUUUCGAUAAGAGUUUAAUCGGAUCAUAUUAUUCAUCACCAUUUCCUCUCUCAUAGUACCAGUUGUUUAAACAGGCUGUAUGCUGAAGUUCUGAGCAUAAGACUGCAAUUUCUUUCAAGAAUUAAAGAAGUUCAUUUUUCUUUCGGCAAGACUGCAAGAACAGAGGGUCCUUCAUAUACUAAUAUUUUUUACCUAUCGGACAAGGAGAAAUAAAUACAAAUCUAGGCCUGCUGCCACGAUCCUCUAAGAUUCAGCCCUCCGUAAUAGCAAAAAAAAAUAAAAUACAAAUCUAUCCACGAUUCCACAUCUUAUAUUCUGAUAUGUGUUUGUGAAGUAGCACAAUGCCAGCAUACAAAUGCAGUGCUGAUGCAGAUGCAUACCUUAAGCCAAAAUGGCACAUUGUUCUUAUAGCCUGUAGCCAAUACUACAGCAUGGAAAUCUAUCCUAUGCAGAAGAUAGUUAUAGAUUAGAUUGAAUCAAGAAAUAAACCCAAAAAUAUUAUAAGAAAAAAACAUGAUAAAAAUCGUAUUAUCUCUGACAAGAUUUUCUGAACCUAUACAAUCCAGAAGUACAAUAUAUGAUUUUUGCCUGAUUUCAAUCUUCAUCGUUACAAUCCUCAUGCACCAAAUAUUUGCAUGGUGAACAUUCAAGAGCUGGCUUAUCGCAUGCAUCUUGACCACAUAAAUUGCAAUUUCUCUUCUUUUUAUUGAGAAUAUAUGUGAGGCCAUGUUGGUGAGGAUGUUUGUCACUGUAAAUGUCGGUAGCACCAAACUUGAUAUUGGAGAGCCAGUCAUAUGGAUCAAUACAGUCAGUAUCAAAUGAUAGAUCACAAACACUGCAGUGAUAAAACCAAGCGACUGGAUUUAUCUGUGUGGAGCAUAGUUCACACUCGAAUUCAUGAGGAUGAUCAGCUACAUUCUUGGGGGAGAGAAUCAAGUAAAGAGGAUGAGGAUCCCAUCUGUGAUUCAUCAGACGUGGUUUUAUCACACACCCUAUAUGUAAGUAGAAUUUGCAUCUUUCACAUCCAUACAUGAUAGUUUCUUCAUUUGUUUCGGGUUCAUCCAGACAUGCUUUACAAAAAAAGUCAUCUGGACUCUUUAAUUGGCUGAGAGGGUGGCGAUGAGCUUCAUGUUUGAUCAUUCUCGGUAGUGAAGCACAGCAGAUGUCUAGACUGGCUGUUUUAUUGGUCAUGAAAAUCCCAUUACCAGAGAGUCUGCAACCUUGGCACUCGAGACCCCCGAGUUCAUGGUCUUCUCGUCCAAAUAGGCUCUCCAGCUUGCCUGCUAGAUGAUGCUCAAACUCUUCCGGAAACUGAGAGCAUGAUCUGUGGAGAAAAAAAUUGCAUGAAUUGCAUUCAUAGAAUAAUUCAUCAAGCAAGGAUAUUGGUUUAAUGCACCCGUCGCAGAUAAGAAUUUCAGUUUCCGCUAAUUUACAGCUCAAGUUAGGGGUUUAAGUUGUCGCGUUCUUGUUUCUAAGUGCCAGCUGGUGCCUAUGGGCCCAAUGCUUGAUAUAAGGUGAAGGUUCCGCAAUAUUGGCAGAAUCAUGCUGGUGAGCAUUUGCUACCUUCAUGAUACAUUGCUGCAUCACUUUAUGUAGUGAUGCUUCAUCAUGUGCAGGGAAGUGCAUUAAAUUGGAAUGUCCCCAAUCUGCUUCAUCAUUCAUAUUACUUACGCUGUUCCAGAAGAAAGAACCAACCCCAAUCAGAACGAUUUCGAGUAAGACAACUAUGUAACUAUUUAGUAAAUUAUCAAUAUGAAAAAUAUGAAAAAUACGAAGAGGAAAUGGUACAUCAAAGUUGAUAAAGCACAUUUCACGUGAGCAAAAAAUCUGCAAUUUGCACAAAUAUAAACCCAGUCGAUGGGAUUUAUAUUUUCAUCGCAGAUGCUGCAGAAACAGGUAAAUUGACGAAAUUGUUGGGGAAGAGAGUAGUUCAAGAUGAGAGCGUGUUCAUUGUGAAAUUUACUUUGGUAGGUGAUGGGUGCAUUGGCACAACUCUCGUGUAUCCAGAAAGGACAAGUUGUACAAAUAUAGGACAAAUCUGUUGCUGUAGUGUUACAAGCAUGACACAGGAACAAAGCUGGGCUUUGGACUAAGGUUAAUGGGUGAUC